ensembl:lncRNA
GGCUGGGGGAGUUGGGGGCAGCUUCCUUCAUGAGAAGGAAUUAUCUGUGGGCAGGUACCCUGCCUCUGACAAGCCCAGGCAGCUGCAUUUUCAUGUGUGAUGUCCCUUAUCUCCGCUGGUAGGAGGCAGUUUGCCAUUUCAGGGUGACACAGAGAGCCGUAGUCUUAAAUUUUGAGUUAUAGAUGUCAGCAGUGGUUACCAGGGAAACUUCUAAAAUUACCCUGGUGAUGUCUCCUCUCAGAUACUACAUCAGAUCUCCAGCAAAUGGCACUGAGUGAGCAGGCACAGGCUGAGGAAGCAUCGCUGUGUAAGGCUCCUGGAGGCUGUACUUACAAUUGCUGUUCACUGCUGUCACACAAUGGUCAGAAGUAAUUCAUUGAGCUGGAUGGCCUUUGGUGUGCUAAGCCAGGCUUAUGGUUGGCAAACAUCUGCCCUUCCUGGAGCUGCUGGGUGGGCUUGGAUGAGCUGCCCUGACCCUGUGCCUGCCAGCCUGCUGGGAGCUGUGCAGACAAUGUCAAGCAUGCCAUCGUUAGCUUGGAGCUGGGCCACCUAAUGUGGUUAGCAGUCUGCCUCUUCCUGAAGUCAGAGCUGAAACGUUUGUGGCAGAAGCUGCAUUUUAGACCUCAGAGUUAUGAGAGAGAUUCUUCUGAAAGUGAAAAUCAAACAAGUGAGCAGCCGUGUUUGCCCAAGGCAGUGUCUCUGAGGGAGUAUGACUUUCCCUGUCCCGUUACUCUUAUUCAGAAGUUAAUCCUCAAAUCGAAUGUGUGAACUGCUCUCUUCUUACACGUGUGUGACACAGCUCACAAGUGAAAAUAGAAGGAGUGCAGAGUAAAGCAACAGCUGUCUUGGAAGAAAGAGGAAAGCCAUGGAAGGAGCUGUAGAAAGGCAAAAGGCAGAUGGGCACCAGCUUCCAGAAGGAGCGCACUGAGGUCUACGUUUCCAUCAGCAUUCGGCUUCUGGAUCUCAAGCAAAUGCUGAAAGCAAAGUUCCUUCUGAUGCUGGGGAUGAGAGCAGAUGGAAGCCAAGCUAUAGUUGAUACAGGACCUAUUCCUCAAUGACUGUUUCACUUGCAAACAAGGAGCCUUAGUGCCACUAAGAUUUGGGUACCAUGAUUCACUGAGGGCUGCCCAGGAUAAGCAGUGUCCAUGUCAUGUUUUCCAGGAUAUUCCUUCCCAGAACCACACGGCUCCUGCUCUGCUGUGCAGAAGUGCACCUCAGUCUCCAUACCUAACAAAUUGAAGGCUCUUCUUGUUUCACAGAGCAUCAGUCGACGUCCUGCCCUCGCUCUCUAAAUUUCACCCAAGCCUUGCAAGCACCAGAAGUACGAGCGCCAGAUCCUCUCAUCUCCUUCCCUCCCUUGACCUCACCUCUGUGUCCCACACCUCUCCAGGCAGCCCAUGCACGCUCCUGAGGAAGAAUGUGGCCAAUAUACUGCCAAGUGCCGCUAAAUGGAAGAAGGCAGAGGAUAACAGAAAAUCAAAAAGACUGGAGGAAGAUUUCUUCCUGAUGCUGUAAUCUCAUGCUGCUGUUUAUCUCCACCUGUGACUUUGCUUAUUCCUUCGUCCCUCUAUAAAUCACUGCAGCUGGUGGUGCAUUCACCCAACCUUUCUGCCAGGAUGGUGUCAAACCUCUUCCCAUCAGACACCUGAACUGGUCAAUUCCUACCGCUAAACACCACUAUUUUGAAGAAGGAAAACUGAAGUGAAAGCAAAUUUCAAAGGUACUCAAGACUUGUGUGAUACGGCGCUGAGCUCUGUGCUCACACAAAGAGCUGUUGGUUUUAGGCAUGCUAAAUGAAACACAUUUUACAUCUGCAGCAGAGUAAGAAAAAGUCUCGUUUCUUUUGCCUGAACAAAAGGCAAAGCAUACAGCAGCUGCUGUUCUUGUAGUAAAGAUUUCAAAACUGAAUGGCAGUGCUCUCUCACUCCUAUUCAUUUGACAUUCAGCUUUCAGAUUGUGAUGUUCACUGUCAUAUUUAUCACUUAACUAUGAUGGGCUGUUUGGGGUGACAGUUAUGGAUGGAAGCAGCCACAGUUCUCACCACCUUUCCAGAUCCAUUUUAAGUGGUUUCUGCUCCAUCAUCACUAAGAGCUGAUGCUGCUAUUCCCAUAGUUGGGAGAUUAGAAGCAAUGUAUGAAUUCAGGCCUUUCUCCUUCCUGUGGUUGCCCUAUGGUCAGGCAGAGGAGACUUUCCCACUCUUUCAACCACUGCUGGUGAAAUGAGCCCCACAGUACGUGAUCGAGAGAACUGACUUCGAGCUUUGAUAGUUAUAAAUAGUAGGCACUGUAAUUGUCUAGCAGUUCUCCUGCAAAGAAGAGGUAAUUGUGUGGAUGAAUAAAAUAUUGGCAUUAAAAAAACAUUUUAAGCUUAAUCUCAAAGUAGCUGAUGAAGUAUUUCUAUGGCAGACCUGUCAGCUCACGUGCUCUCAGUGGUAGCUUCUCAUGCUUGGUUGGCUCUUUUGUAAGAAGAGAAAAAGAAUUAAAAAGAAAAAAACAAAAAUGAAACACACCAGAAACACAUGCACAGUACAGAAUGCACACACAACGAAACAGCAAAAUAAUCCUGAAAAUCAAAUGCGUGCAUUUGGAGAGGGCCUUCUGCACUUCUCCAUGUUACCCCUCAUGGGGAAGUUCCCAGCCCUGCCACUCAGGCAGACCCAGUGGAGGAGCUUUUCUCUCUGGGUGCCCAUCCCCAGCCUCACUGUACCUGACAACUUCAUGGUUCAGCCUGUUUCUUCUCCAGGGGGCAGAGCCAUGCUGCCUUCCCCUUCUGCAAGGGAUGAAGCUUCGGCUGCCAUUACACUGUGCUCUUGGAGAGACCUUCAGCUCAAACUGAUCUACAGCCUACCUGUGGGAUAGUCUUCAGCCUCCAGGCAGAGCAAAGCAGCCAGAGCACACCUGGGAGGGGGAGGAUCCUGAAAACUGCUGCUUAUGGGGUGGCAUCAGAUUACGACCAGUUCCUAGGAUUUGGCUCAGAGAUACAGAGGAAAGCAGGGAGGUGGGCUGGCUCCUCCAUCCUGGACCAAAAGUUUGAUGCAGGGAUUGGGUCUCCCACUGCAUCACUGCAUAGGAUGAGGGGAGGAGGUAGGAAAAGUGACUGGCAUUUUGAGAUCAUUGAUAACCUUCAUGAGGCAUUAGUUUUAUUUAAUACAGAGUGUCAUGUCGGGUCCAGUAUUUCAGGGACCGAUUUAAGAUUUAACAGCAAUUCACAACGCUAACAUCAGCCAAAGCAUUUCUGUUUGGAUUUUAGUUCUCCAGCAGAAGGAUGACAGCACUGAAGAUUAAAGCUUUUUUUUACCCCUCCUUAAGAUCUCAGCAAAGUGCAGAUUUGAAACACAGAAAGAGGUUGACCUUCGUAUUAACCUGAAUCUCUUUUCCUGUUUCUUCUUGAACAUAUUUUAUUCUCUUUAUGCACAGUGGGGCUCUUUUUUUCUUGUGUGAGGCUGUUGAAUGAAAUGCCAGAAAGAUGGAGUGUGCACUUUUACAUCAAAGAAAUGAUGAGACCAUAAAAACUCAUUUCCCUUGUGACUUCUUAAAUUGUUGCUAAGGAAUUGAAUGAGUCUGUUUGAAACAAUGUGUCCCUUUAAAUUCUGUUUUCUUAUUUGUCUUAAAACACAAAGCCACAGUUUCUUGUAGACCCUGAUUCAAAGGCCACUCACUGAAGUCAAUAAAGGUUUCUUAGUCACUGUGUUUAGAUGUAGGUCAGAUUUUUCAAGUAUUCCACUAUGUAGAACCCAGGCAGACUGAUUUCAAAAGUUCUGGCUAUUCACAGAAAGAAAGUAAAAGGUCUAGUUUGUUUUUGUUCAUUCAGGUGGUUAAAAACGUCCCCUUCAAAUGGGCCAGAAUUGAGUCAACUGUCAACUGCUGAGCAGAACAAAUCUGACAGGGGCAAGUAAAAUGAAGCAGUAGUUAAAUUCAGAAAUCCAAAGAAGUAAAAAUGUUGAUUUACUUUAGUUUUUCUCAUGCACAGUGGUGACGUGCAGUAGAAGCACAAACAAAGCCCACGGUUCAGACUGUUGGAGGGAAACCCUGCCUAUUUCUGUGUAACAGUUUUGGGCAAUCACUCUCGCUGCUGGGGUGAAUGGUUUGUUAGUACUAUAACCCAGUGAGUUGCUAGAAAUGGUCUUGAUUGGAGAGCAUUGUAAAGCAAUUAAGUUCUGACUAUUAACAAAGCUCCCACAGAGAGCAUUAAUUUUUGAAAGUAGACAAAGUCUGCGCUACGACUUUCUAGUGACUGUGUGGAAGUGUGACCAGAGUGAAAUAUGGAAACUGCUACAGUAAGUCUCAACUGUUGUAGAUAUUCCUUAUCAGUUUCCAGGAAAAGGUUUUAAAGUUCCAAUUUAGAAAAGCAUUUAAAUGUAUUCUGAAAUUUAUUUCAAUUUAAUUGGAUACAGGUUUAACAAAUUGUUAAGUUUUUGCAUAAUAAGUAGCAAUUUAAGUAUCUUCUUAUAGAGCUGGUUUGGAUUUCAUUUAAAUAUCCUUUUCUCGGAAUUGGAGCCUUAGUCAUCUGAACUGUAAUGGGAUUUUCUGGGUCUAAAAUCCAGAAAAUGCCACUUUGCUCUCAGACCCAAGUCAGUCAUCUUCAUCUAUGAGAUACCCAUAUUGUGUGCACACGUUCCUUUCCAGAACUCCAGCCGCCUGGGCUCUUUAACUUACUGUUUGUUUCUCUCUGCAAAGGCGUAUGAUAUUUUAAGCAGGUAACUUAACAGUGGUUCAAAAUAGUGAUUUCUUGUGUUAGCCAGUGUAAGAAAAAUCAUAGAAUCAUAGAAUCAGUCAUAGAGAAAUGCCAUGCUGAAGAUGCUAAAACCCCAGAAUGGAGGUCUCCAUCUCUGAUCGUUCUCAGAGGUUGAAAUUGCAGUUCGUCAUCUUCCCAUCUUUUGUACCCAAUUUCUGGUUGCUCUGCUCUGUUUUAUGCCUUGAAAAGGACAUUUGCUUUAAUGGUCCCAUGCUGGGAUUUCAGAACGAUGGGGAAACAUUGCUACCAGUAAAAUAUGUGGAACUAUUUUCAAAACGUUGGCGUGAGCCAACAGGACCUAUCAAAGCCUUUGCAAAAGCAUAAAACCAACUUCUCGGAUUACAUUGUUUAUAAUUUCUCUUGGGUUAUUUCCCAAUAACACAGAAAACGUGUGACUCUUUUUGUAUCCGAAAGGAGUUUGGCCAGUGCUGAGGUGGGAGCACAGGAUCUUUACCAAACAAGGCUCCAUGUCGUGAUGGGCAGUCUUUAGGACUCUGAGUAACUGAAUGCUUGUAGCACUUCACUUUCUGAAGAUAGAUGAAGCGUCUUCUGAAUUACAUGUGGUUUUUUUAUGGUUUGUUGUCUUGUUUUUCUCCUUGUAGUGUAAUUCUGAACCACAUGAUCAAGCCAGGUGUUAUUCCAUGCUACUGCUUCUGAAAAUGCAGAUGCAGCAGAUGCAGGCAUACGGGUUCAGUGAAUCAGGAACAGAUAAGUGUCAACUUUCCUCUGUGGUUGUGGUUGCAAAGACCCUUGUGCUGAACGUUUAUUCUCUAGUGUUUAGAAAGGAACAGUUUGAUUAUAGCAGUACUUUGUUUAAAAAAAUUUCUUGAUAACUACACUGAAAGUGGAUAUUUUCUGCUAUUACUUAAAACUCAGUGUUGGUUGCAAACCCAAAGAAAACAGGUACCCAUGUUCAAUAGCCAUACCUAAUACACUGUUGUGUUAGAUACCACAAUCCUAAUUCCAUAAGAUGGUGUUCUUGGAAACAGCAGAAAAUCAGCAUGGAAUAGAAAAAAUUUCCUCCAGAAGAUGCAGUUUCCAUUGUAAAACCAGUCGUUUGCAUUUUUAACAUCCCACCUUGCUAGUUUUUCUUCUUCUAUUGGGAAGAAGUUCAUAACAAGUUCACUCCUUUUAAUCUAAGGAAAAUGAACAGACCUCCCAGAGUUGAAAACCCGCUGUACAAACAGCAAAAUUAUUCUGACUUCCAGGAGUAAUUUAAUUAGAAGGAUUCUUCAGAGUGGCUUUUUUUUUUUUUUUUUUUUUUUUCCAUUAGAAAAUGUGGUGUUUUUCACGCUGUACAGCACAAAACCUUUGGCAUUUUUGUAAAGUGUAAUAAAAUAAUCACUGGGAAUUUCUGGAUCUUUCUCUAUAGGAGUUGCUACCCAUUUUUCUUUUUAAGCUAAUUUAAGGGACAAAGUAGCUCAAUAAUUUGCUUUUCUGCUUAAAAAGGUGACUUUGAAGAAGAGUGACAUGAUAAACCUUCCACAGUGAUUAUGGAAAAUAUUGUUUCUGCUAUUUAUGAAAUACACUGUGAUGCUCUUUUGAUUAAAAAUGAAGAUGAAAAUCUUUCAAAGCCUUUGAGACAAAAUUAUUUCAGCAAACAAAGAAUGAGAAGAGUAUCUGGUAGUGGUGUGGACUUCUGCAUGGUCUUGAAUAUGUGCUGCUCUGUGGAAGAACCAUUUCCAGAAGUGGCAUUUGUCCCCACAGACUUUUUAUGUCCAGGUGUUUCACUUAUCUGUAGUUCCACUUAUGUUUUCUUUUCUUUCAACUAAUGUCCAGGACAAGUUAAAGUGAAUCCUACAUUCACUGGCUGACUAGGUGCUAAUUGCUAACAUCAGUUCUGAACCUGAGGCAGAUAUUAGCUCCAUGUGCAAUUAGCACACUGAUGUACAGAGGAACUGAGAUCCCAAGAUGAAAACCAGAAGAAUGAGGUGCUGUACUGUCAUUUUGGAAGACAGUACCCUGGUUUCACUACUUAUAGUUACAGAACAUCAUUAGCUUUUGAAAAUGAACAGGAAAAUCUGCUAUUAGUGUUCCUUCCUGCUGUUAUGCAGCAUGAGGGGUUCUCAAUGUCUAUGCUUGUACUUUGUUGCUCUUGUUGAAACAUCCCUUUCUUGAAGAGAUCAUUUAGGACUGGGAAGACGCCAGAAUGUUACUGACCUCAAUGUGGAUUACAUUUCUAAAGUAGUUUGGGACAUUCUCUUGCCACCUGUAGUUGUAUAGUUUGUAUUUCAGAAUUAGGGAGGUCAACAGUAAAGAAGCGAUACAUUUCAUCUAAAGAGUGAUGUAGAGAAUUGUAAGGAAAUUACAACUUUUGUUGAGUUCUUUACCGACAUUUAUUGACUUCAUUUCUGCUUAACGCUACAGCUGACACCAAGCCCAGCCCUUUGUUUGCAGGACAGUAGAUUUAAGUGCUCACUAAAACAAGAAGUCUGUGGAAUAAUUAAAUAAUGAGUAUUUUUAACAAGUGUCCUUUGAAAACAUCUCAAGGUAAUGUUGAAAGAAAAUAAAACAAAAAAACAAACAAUAGGAAGAACUGAAAAUCAUUUGCAUAGAAAUGAUCACAUUCCAUCAUGAUGUCCUAAUUUGUGCCUAUGUUUUAGGAUGUUUAUGGUGAUUCCAGAGCUGAUUACCAUAUUAAUGUCAUGAAAAUAAUAAAAAUGUACUGAUUUAGUGCAUUACUCCCUUAAACCAGUCAUAAGAAAAGAUUUACCUUAGUUAUUCUGUGGUAAAAGUUAUAUUACUCAUUUUCUUCAUCUUCAGUGCAUGUGGUAACACAGAAAUAUCACUUUGCAAAGUGCUUUAUAUCAAGGAAAUUCCAGACCACAACAAAGGAGUGCAUGUUAAAAUCAUGAGAAAUGUAGUUUGAGGUGAUUCAUGAAAGAAAUAAUCAGUGUUUAUGAAUGCUAAAAUGUGUUACUCAACUAUGCGCUAGUAAAUUAUGCCUAUGCGUAAAAAGGGAGCAGGCUUAACACUGUGACUAGGAAAGCUUUACUGUAGUCAGAUUUGCUACUAUUGGACUGAAAAAAAAAAUAGUAAGGGAAAGAGAAGUUAAAUAAUAAACUUAAUUUUGCUUUGGAAUCAACUGCUUCUCAGUAAGAUGGUGAAACUGAAAAUGGCUUUAGGAGCACAGAUGUGAGAGAUGAUAGGGACCACUCAGAGGUCUAGAAAGCACGGGCUCUGAAGAAAGACUUUAUGAACUGGGAUUCUUUUAGAUUAAAAAAAGAGAAGGCAAGGGCUAGGUGACUUCACUUUCAGUUUUAUAUUUUUAUGGUAAUAAAAGGAAUUGAAAGAGAGUCACUGCACCCAAAGUCAAAAGCCUUUCAGACAAUGAAAAUUAUUCCUUUGUAAAAGUUGAACCAUCACCCAUCCUACAGACUUAUGUAAAGAAACAAGGAGACAUCAGUGUCCUUUCACUGCCAGAACGGGCAGGGAAGCAUCUCACAUGGGUUGGCAGGACUUUGUUUAUAUGCAGGAAAGGGGAGUGCUGACUCUCUUGGGAGAAUCUGCCAUUGUAUUAUUUUAUUUAUAAAUAUUUAGCUAAUAGAUCAGCUGUUUGGAAAUACUGGAUAUAUACCAUUGGAAAUGGUAUUAAGCAAGCAAAUAAAUAACUGGUUUUAAACUGUGGGUGGUAAACGCGUUUACAAAAACCUUCACAAGGAGCACCUGGCAACCUCAGCAGGUCCUGUCAGUGUAACUUGCUCGUGAAACACCCAAUCAAUAAUGCACAUGAGCUACAUGCCAUAUGGUCAUAUGCUUUUCACUAGGAUGAUAAAUGAUAUUCUAGGUUAUGAAAGCCAUCUUUAUAAAAUGGAAACAACUCCUGCAAACAAUCAAACUGAUGGAGGAAAAUGAAGUGAUACAAACGAACUGGAAAAUUCACUGAUCUCCAAAGAGUUCACAAUAAUUUACACAAGUUGUUCUUAUACUUUGUUUACAGUUGUACAGAGAGAGACCUUUUCUUCUCAGGGGCCAGAAGGGGUAUUGCAUACACGAUGUGAGAAUGGACAGGCAGAGAAGAGAGAAGAUGGAUGGAAGAGUGGAUGCAUUACAAAGGCUGUUCAAGGUUUGGAAAGUAAAGGAAAGUAAAGAGAAUCAUGUGAGUAGCCCAUACAGGAGAUCAGCAAGGAAACCAAGGAGUCCAGCUUCUUGGUGCCUUGUCUGCUGUUUCAUCUUGGUCAUAGUUCCUCAAAAAAAAAACCCUGUUUAUCAUCAGUUUUUUCUUAACUGUGCUUAUCCAUGUAGGUUGCUACUCUGCCUCCGCACUUCCGUCUUGCCCAAUGCAACAGGGAGUUAGCUGUACAGCAGGCUUUAAAUAGAUGCUUUUUCAGACGGUGCUCACAUUUAGUUCAUUUUUUAAACAUAGCAGGAACACCGAACAUGUGAAAUUGUUAAUAUUCUCAGUUGAUUAGAUGGAAGAAACAUCCCAAAGGUUACUUGUUCUAUUUUUUUGAGAAAUUACAGUGAUGCAUUUUUUUUUUCUGGACAAUUGCUAUAAAGACUUGCAUAAAUCUGGUACAUUUAUUCUUCUAUUUUUUUAAUUUUAUUCUUGAGAUUCUGCUUGGGAAGGAGUAGUUUUAAAAAUUCAUUAUUAUUUGAUUGCAAGUUGGAUGUCAGCCAGCUAAAUUUUUGAAUUUGAAAGAAAAUGCAGCAUCAGCUUCUCUGGAACUAUAAUGGAAUGAAACCCUCCAAGCACUCAUUAAAAGGGCAUCUGACGUCUAGCAAAAUUAGAUGAGGUGUAAAUCACUGAAAUACCAAAUGUGGAUUUGAAAUGGAAUAUUUAAUUCUGGAGAGCUGAAACCUAAGGCAAAGGGGAAAUUUAACUACACCAGCACAAUAUUUUGAUGAUGGAAGGAGUAGCACCAUUUCAAAGGUUUUAUGUUUAAUUUAAAAAAAAUGUUUAUUGAGGGAAUCUCCAUUGGUGUUUCAGUUGCUAUUUGGCAUACAGACAAGUGGUUGAGGAGCACAACAAAGGCACAAUAGUAACUUUACUCCAUGAACGUCUUCUAAGUGAUUUGCAAAUAUUAUUGGAAAAAUCUGAUUGUAGAGGCCUAAUAGCAAUAAGCAUUUCUUCCCUUAUCUUCCUCCUGAUUGUUUCACAUUAGGAAAGUUUGCUAUUGCUCGGUCACUUUAGGACACAUUCAGUUCCAAUGUAGAAACAGAAGAGAUCGAGGGCUAUGAAGCAACUUGCUUUCAAUUUUCCCCUUAUUCAAAAUGCAACUGAAAGACACCAUUUUUUUCAAUAACAUAACAUUGUUAGCAGUAGUAAAUAUUUCUACUCCUGCUGUUUCUUCUGACCAUUGUUGGGAUUGAGGCUUCAUUAUUCUGAUGCCAUGCAAGUUUCAAAGAAAGAAUGUCUGCCCUGAAGUGUUUGUACGCUUGGAGUGCAAUCAGGAAUAAUGAAAGGGAUGUGGAUGCAUCACAUGAACAAAUAAAUACGGAGAACUGAUCCCACUUUGUUAUACAUGAAGGUUUUUUCAUAAUUGUUAUAUUUAAGGAAUUCAAUAUUGAUCCCUUUUCAUUCAUGAUUUGGGAUACUAUAUAGUUUAUCAUAUGUUUUUCCAGUAUUUUAUGUCAUCAGGUUGUGAUUCAGUAUGGUGUUGCCUUUAUGAAAGCAGGCAAGGAUUCAUUUCACUUGCAGCACAAAUGUAACUUCCCUAAGAUGAAAACCAAUUUAAAUGGAAAAACAUUUGUUUUCUUGCUGAUAUUACAUAUAGGAAUGGAAUACUUCUAUACAGCAAUAUACUUCAUUGUCGUGGGAUAGAUGAACAGAUUUGGAUUCCUCAAAGAGAGAUUUGUUUCAAGCCAGACAAGGUGGGACUCAGGAAUUGCAUUUUAAGAAGAAUCACUUUGAAGGCAAGAAAGAGGUCACGUGAGGAAACAAGCACUUGAGGAAAUCUUAUGCAGUUUAAAAUUGAUUGAGUUACAAAUAAAGACAUUCUUCAGAAAAGGAAUGAGCUUUGAAAGACUCAGGGUAUGCAGCAGUGUGCUGAGAAUAAGGAAGAGAUAUGGUCCUGUUUCAUUGUUCUCUGGAGUGGGGAAGCGGAGCAGUGGGAGUGUGUUGGGAUCAAAGGAUGGCUGGUAAUUUAUUUUGUGUCCUUUUCUACAGUUACUUUGAUAUCCAGCAUAAGCUGAAAUGAAUAACGUUCAUUUCUUGAGGAAAAUAUGGUGCAUUUGAAAACCAGUGUUCAAAUGAGCAAUAAUCCAGUCUGGCUUCCUUUGUGUUAUCCAAAGCAGCAGCGUCUUCAGCUUGAGAUAAGGGUAGGGAGACUGCUUAAUUUCAAAGGUUUUCACUUUUAUCUUAGACUGGGAAAUCUGAAUACUUUAAUGGGUUUAGGUUUUAAUUUAAUUCCAGGUUGCUCAUCAUUUCACCUUUCAGCUGGGCUAUAGAGAUAAUUCAAUCAUAUUUCCCUUGACAAGCCAUCUGAAUUAUGCUUAUAUUUCUCUGUGGAUGUGAAAAUCAGCCACCACAUUUGAGUGCAUGACAGACUCUUCUGCCUUCCUUCCUUCUUUCUUCCUUAAUUUUGAGACUGUUCUGCUCUUGCUCCAUAAUGCAGAUGUCCUCUGACACAGGCACAUGAAAGACAGACCUUGUACUUCUGCAUAGACACGAUGCCAAAAGUUUCAGAAGUAAGGCCAGAGAGCAGUCGUCAGGAAACAAAAAGAUCCAAUAUGAACAAACAGCAUAUUUUGGGUAGUCUGGGGAUUGUGUGGGCUCAACUUCUGCCCGGAGUUCACAUGCUUUCCCUCCUCCAUGACCGUUUUUUACAGAGACUUUACAUUUUGUUUCCCCAGACCUAUCCCCUUGCUAUCCAGCAGUACAUAAUCAGCUCUUAUGACUCAAAUAUGUGAAAACGGAGAAGGAUUCUCUGGUCUGAUUCUUGAACCCAAAAGGCUGAUCAGGAAAGACACAAACAAGAGGUAACAGUUUCUUAAAUUCAGGUUUCUCUGUUAGACUUUACACAUUAAUUUUGUGUUUAAAAGGUCUUUUCUUGAAGGUACCCUAACCAAACUCAGCAUUUCACAUAUCUGUGUGAACGCAUACUAAAAUGAAUCACAUUUCCACAGUCAGAUAAGGUCCAUCUUUCUACCUUUUUUCACUGCUCAUCUGUCUUUUAAAGUGGCUAAACAUGAUAAAUGCAUUCAAUUUCAUCCCCUCUGUGUUAUGUUAACCCCGAAGGUCACAACAUUGAGAACUACUCUGGAGUGAACCAGCGCUGAACUACACUGUGCUUUAAUGACUUUUAAGGUCUCCAGGUAAGAACAGCUAUCAUCAUCCCACAGAGACAUUUCUACCUUCUUUUCUAUUUAGAGCUAACUCUUCUAUUAGCAUGUUCCAGCUGAGUCAAAGAGGCAUCAAAGGCACUUAAGGCCCUUUUCCUUCAAGACCCAGGCUGUAAUACCUGAGAAGUUUAUCCUCUUUAAUUGCAGACCACACAAACCUGCUGAAAGCUCAGUCUGACACUCCCCUGUGCAUGACAGGCUGUCAUUCUCCUGGAAUAAUUUUCUGACAUUCUUCAGAGAGAUGUGGACAUUCAUUUUUUGCCCUCACAGGAAGCAUCCACAUUGCAUGCUAUUUAUAAAACUGUCAUUCAUUUUGUAACAGGCAGGUGUUCACACACAAACCUGGACAUGAAACAGCCUUUUUAUUCAAGGCAUUUUUGGCACUUUAUUGAAGAUAGGCCCUCCCAGAUGGAGAAUUAAAAUCAGGAUCUCAGUUCUUUUCUAUAGGCAGCUUCUAGAAUGGAUGUCUAUGUAGGUAAGAGGGUGUAAGUAAAAAAACAACAGACCCUAAAACAACUACAAAACUUAAAAUGUGUGCUAAUGUGCAUAUGUGUGCUCAUGUAUGUUUACAUUGAGACAAAUCUCCAAAUGACAACUUAUUAGGACCGAAUAUUUUGUUUAAUUUCUUUUAGUAUAGGAUAACUUCCAACUGCUCUUAGAUUACCAAAAAGACACUGUCUUUUUUGAAGGUCAACAUGGAAGAUAAAGAGAAGACAGGUCAAAUUCUGAAAAUCGUGGAAGAAAAGUAGUUAAGCUGACAAAAAUGAGAAAGGAUGUGAACACAUAAGGUCAGAAUGAAAACCUAAGUUAAAACUUAAUAACUUGUCUUGCGUCAUAGUAGCUCUUCGGUCAAUAAAUUAUCCAGACAAAGUUUAUUACAAAUUAUUCUUUUCAGUGCAAUUAGACAUUUGAAAUAUUUGAACAGAUGGGAAGAGUUUCAGCUCAAAUGAUGAUUCUUCUCACUUUGCUUUCCGGGAAAUGAUAAAACAUUCUUCCCAUAGCCUGGAAAAAAAGAGGGAUUGAGAGAACACACAGAAGCAUAAAAUACAGUGAACUGAAUUAUGCAGCCAUGUAAUAAAAAAAUGUUGUGAAACAAGAAUACUCUGCUUCCACAGUGUUUCAGUGGCAUUCUUUGAACCUUUCUAUUCUUAGACAUUCUUGUAGCCUGAAGAUAUUCGUCAUCGUGGCAUAACUAAAUGAUUUGUUUUUAUUGGUACAAUCAAUCCACAUUAUUACCUUUGACUACAUGGUUCUCUAUCUUGAUUCUGACAUACGGCUAAUAACUUUUAUGAUGAAAUCACAGAAGUGCUCCAUGGGAUGUAAUUGAAAAUUGUGCUCUGUAGUUUUGUUUUGAACUUCUUUUAAUGUUUAGUAUAGCCAUGUGCAACCUUGAUGGAAGUAAACUGUGAUACAUGGAAUUAAUUUUAACAGGAUAGAUGUAUGCCUCAUCUUGUAAUGAUGGUAAGCAGUUGCAGUUACCACAGCUGGAAGGGGCACCUCUGACACUGAAGCUCCACUGCCAUUCUCUGAUUUGAGCUUUUGAAAUCACACUUUUGGAAAACAUAGAGAAGUAAAGCAUUAAUACAAAUGAAUUUGGAGAGUAAAAAGAGUCAAAUCCAAGGAACAAGCCAUUGUGAUGUGGCGAAAUCCUUGUGGAAAACAGCGGUCUGCUGAUAUGUACCACUAUAGAAGUUAUUACUAUUUCCAGCACAGAUCUGUCCCAUUUGAACUGAAUGCAAAUAUUAUCAUGCCACUUGUGACUCAUUCUGUGCUUCAGCAUUUUUAAAUGUUAUUCUGCUUUUCUUGUGCUAUUUCGUUAUACUUACCAUCAUAUAUGUGCCCUUUUUUUCCUGCUUUUUAUGAUUUUCUUUUAGAUUUUCAGAUUGUUAAGCUGUUCUUGAUGCAAUCAUGUUAAUUUUUGAUGUACUUCUAAUCUUUCCUCCAUGUUAGGAUAAUUUGCUGUUGUGCCUUUAUCUUGUGUGUUUCUUUUUCCUUAUCUCUUCUCAGAUACUUGCGUUUCCCUGAGCCAUUUGAAGUCCAUUACCCUUAUUUUGUUAUUUGCAAUUUAAAGGAAGAGUGGAAGACUUAUCAUUUUUAUGAUCUCUUUCACUUGAAUUAACUUCCACUUUAAGAUUCUCAACCAUUUCCUUCAAAAGAAUUUGAAUUAAAUCUAAAAUAGCUACUUUCUGUGUAAUUUCCUCCACUUCAUGAAAGAAAAAACAGUCCCUGACACAUUCAGAGAAUUGAAUAGACAAUCUGUGUCCUGCUUUCUCAGCAGCUCCCGGUUAUACUACCAUCUCACCACUAGGUCCUGCCAUUUAGGUAUUUCUAGUUUCUGUCCCUUGGAUGUUUCCAAUAGUCGCUAUAUUGAAAAUCUUUGGCUUAAACCCAUCUUUAAGAGCAUUUAUUUCUUUUUCUCUCACAUAAUUUAACUGUUGUUCAGCAAAUCUUUCUGACACUUUUUUCCUUUUCAAGCCACAGCACGUGACUUCUCCUAUGCUUGUUCUUCUAGAUCGUGCUAUGCUAUUCUCUAACAGUGUUCAAGUAUUGCUGUUUUGCCACAUAGCUGUACCACUGUUUGGACCAUGCUGGUGUACCAAUACCAUAAUAUCUAGCUACUUAGAUCUCAUCCUGCAGUGUAUGUUGUCCUGUUUUUCAAACGCUUGAUGUACUACUUCAUGUUCUCCCUUUCUUCUUGAUAUGCUUGCCCACGUUCUGUGCAGCCAGACAUCACCUCUGGCAUGGUCUGUCACUGUUUCAAGCUGCAGAUAUGGAAUGUAUUACUUUAUAUCUUCAGGAAAAUUAAUGUCUUAAGC